rnacentral:rRNA from 2 species
UAGGGAAUCUUCCACAAUGGACGAAAGUCUGAUGGAGCAACGCCGCGUGAGUGAUGAAGGCUUUAGGGUCGUAAAACUCUGUUGUUGGAGAAGAACGUGUGUGAGAGUAACUGCUCAUGCAGUGACGGUAUCCAACCAGAAAGCCACGGCUAACUACGUGCCAGCAGCCGCGGUAAUACGUAGGUGGCAAGCGUUAUCCGGAUUUAUUGGGCGUAAAGCGAGCGCAGGCGGUCUUUUAAGUCUAAUGUGAAAGCCUUCGGCUUAACCGAAGAAGUGCAUUGGAAACUGGAAGACUUGAGUGCAGAAGAGGACAGUGGAACUCCAUGUGUAGCGGUGAAAUGCGUAGAUAUAUGGAAGAACACCAGUGGCGAAGGCGGCUGUCUGGU